UACGUAGGGUGCAAGCGUUAAUCGGAAUAACUGGGCGUAAAGGGUGAGUAGGCUGAUAUACAAGUUAGAUGAGAAAUACCAGAGCUUAACUUUGGGAGAUCGUGUAAUACUGUAUGUCUAGAGUUAGUGAGAGGAUGGGGGAAUUCCGAGUGUAGCAGUGAAAUGCGUAGAGAUUCGGAGGAACAUCAGUGGCGAAGGCGCCCAUCUGGCAUAUAACUGACGCUGAAUCACGAAAGCGUGGGUAGCAAACAGGAUUAGAUACCCUGGUAGUCCACGCAGUAAACGAUGUCUACUAGCUGUUGGUCACGAGAGUGAUAAGUAGCGUAGCUAACGCGAGAAGUAGACCGCCUGGGGAGUACGGUCGCAAGAUUA
rnacentral:rRNA from 1 species